ensembl:snRNA U4 U4 spliceosomal RNA
AGCUUUGUGCAGUGGCAGUAUCAUAGCCAAUGAGGUUUAUCUGAGGCGCAAUUAUUGCUAAUUGAAAACUUUCCCAAAUACCCUGCCAUGAUGACCUGAAAUAUAGUUGGCAUUGGCAAUUUUUGACAGUCUCUAUGGAGA